rnacentral:rRNA from 1 species
UGGGGAAUAUUGGGCAAUGGACGAAAGUCUGACCCAGCUAUGCCGCGUGAAUGAUGAAGGCCUUAGGGUUGUAAAGUUCUUUUACCAGGGAAGAUAAUGACGGUACCUGGAGAAAAAGCUCCGGCUAACUUCGUGCCAGCAGCCGCGGUAAUACGAAGGGAGCAAGCGUUGUUCGGAUUUAUUGGGCGUAAAGGGUGUGUAGGCGGUUUGAUAAGUUAGAUGUGAAAGCCCAGGGCUUAACCCUGGAAUUGCAUUUAAGACUGUUGAACUUGAAGUUUGGAGAGGUUAGCAGAAUUCCCAGUGUAGAGGUGAAAUUCGUAGAUAUUGGGAAGAAUACCAAUGGCGUAGGCAGCUAACUGGCCAAAACUUGACGCUGAGGCACGAAAGCGUGGGGAGCAAACA